GUGCUCACUUUGGCAGCACAUAUACUAAAAUUAGAACAAUACAGAGAUUAUUAGCAUGGCAAGGAUGACACUCAAAUUCAAGAAGCAUUCCAUAUUUUU
rnacentral:snRNA from 1 species